rnacentral:rRNA from 1 species
GCGAAUACCGGAGAAUGUUAUCACGGGAGACACACGGCGGGUGCUAACGUCCGUCGUGAAGAGGGAAACAACCCAGACCGCCAGCUAAGGUCCCAAAGUCAUGGUUAAGUGGGAAACGAUGUGGGAAGGCCCAGACAGCCAGGAUGUUGGCUUAGAAGCAGCCAUCAUUUAAAGAAAGCGUAAUAGCUCACUGGUCGAGUCGGCCUGCGCGGAAGAUGUAACGGGGCUAAACCAUGCACCGAAGCUGCGGCAGCGACACUGUGUGUUGUUGGGUAGGGGAGCGUUCUGUAAGCCUGUGAAGGUGGCCUGUGAGGGUUGCUGGAGGUAUCAGAAGUGCGAAUGCUGACAUAAGUAACGAUAAAGCGGGUGAAAAGCCCGCUCGCCGGAAGACCAAGGGUUCCUGUCCAACGUUAAUCGGGGCAGGGUGAGUCGACCCCUAAGGCGAGGCCGAAAGGCGUAGUCGAUGGGAAACGGGUUAAUAUUCCCGUACUUGGUGUUACUGCGAAGGGGGGACGGAGAAGGCUAUGUUGGCCGGGCGACGGUUGUCCCGGUUUAAGCGUGUAGGUGUGUGUUCCAGGUAAAUCCGGUUCACUUUAACACUGAGGCGUGAUGACGAGGCACUACGGUGCUGAAGCAACAAAUGCCCUGCUUCCAGGAAAAGCCUCUAAGCAUCAGGUAACAUCAAAUCGUACCCCAAACCGACACAGGUGGUCAGGUAGAGAAUACCAAGGCGCUUGAGAGAACUCGGGUGAAGGAACUAGGCAAAAUGGUGCCGUAACUUCGGGAGAAGGCACGCUGACACGUAGGUGAAGUGAUUUACUCAUGGAGCUGAAGUCAGUCGAAGAUACCAGCUGGCUGCAACUGUUUAUUAAAAACACAGCACUGUGCAAACACGAAAGUGGACGUAUACGGUGUGACGCCUGCCCGGUGCCGGAAGGUUAAUUGAUGGGGUCAGCGCAAGCGAAGCUCCUGAUCGAAGCCCCGGUAAACGGCGGCCGUAACUAUAACGGUCCUAAGGUAGCGAAAUUCCUUGUCGGGUAAGUUCCGACCUGCACGAAUGGCGUAAUGAUGGCCAGGCUGUCUCCACCCGAGACUCAGUGAAAUUGAACUCGCUGUGAAGAUGCAGUGUACCCGCGGCAAGACGGAAAGACCCCGUGAACCUUUACUAUAGCUUGACACUGAACAUUGAGCCUUGAUGUGUAGGAUAGGUGGGAGGCUUUGAAGCGUGGACGCCAGUCUGCGUGGAGCCGACCUUGAAAUACCACCCUUUAAUGUUUGAUGUUCUAACGUGGACCCGUUACCCGGGUUGCGGACAGUGUCUGGUGGGUAGUUUGACUGGGGCGGUCUCCUCCUAAAGAGUAACGGAGGAGCACGAAGGUUGGCUAAUCCUGGUCGGACAUCAGGAGGUUAGUGCAAUGGCAUAAGCCAGCUUGACUGCGAGCGUGACGGCGCGAGCAGGUGCGAAAGCAGGUCAUAGUGAUCCGGUGGUUCUGAAUGGAAGGGCCAUCGCUCAACGGAUAAAAGGUACUCCGGGGAUAACAGGCUGAUACCGCCCAAGAGUUCAUAUCGACGGCGGUGUUUGGCACCUCGAUGUCGGCUCAUCACAUCCUGGGGCUGAAGUAGGUCCCAAGGGUAUGGCUGUUCGCCAUUUAAAGUGGUACGCGAGCUGGGUUUAGAACGUCGUGAGACAGUUCGGUCCCUAUCUGCCGUGGGCGCUGGAGAACUGAGGGGGGCUGCUCCUAGUACGAGAGGACCGGAGUGGACGCAUCACUGGUGUUCGGGUUGUCAUGCCAAUGGCACUGCCCGGUAGCUAAAUGCGGAAGAGAUAAGUGCUGAAAGCAUCUAAGCACGAAACUUGCCCCGAGAUGAGUUCUCCCUGAGACUUAGAGUCUCCUGAAGGAACGUUGAAGACGACGACGUUGAUAGGCCGGGUGUGUAAGCGCAGCGAUGCGUUGAGCUAACCGGUACUAAUGAACCGUGAGGCUUAACCUUACAAC